rnacentral:rRNA from 1 species
GGGUUGUGAGGUUAAGCGACUAAGCGUACACGGUGGAUGCCCUGGCAGUCAGAGGCGAUGAAGGGCGUGCUAAUCUGCGAUAAGCGCCGGUAAGGUGAUAUGAACCGUUAUAACCGGCGAUACCCGAAUGGGGAAACCCAGUGUGACUCGUCACACUAUCAUUAACUGAAUCCAUAGGUUAAUGAGGCGAACCGGGGGAACUGAAACAUCUAAGUACCCCGAGGAAAAGAAAUCAACCGAGAUUCCCCCAGUAGCGGCGAGCGAACGGGGAGGAGCCCAGAGCCUGAAUCAGCAUGUGUGUUAGUGGAAGCGUCUGGAAAGGCGCGCGAUACAGGGUGACAGCCCCGUACACAAAAGCGCAUGUGCUGUGAGCUCGAUGAGUAGGGCGGGACACGUGGUAUCCUGUCUGAAUAUGGGGGGACCAUCCUCCAAGGCUAAAUACUCCUGACUGACCGAUAGUGAACCAGUACCGUGAGGGAAAGGCGAAAAGAACCCCGGCGAGGGGAGUGAAAAAGAACCUGAAACCGUGUACGUACAAGCAGUGGGAGCACAGGUUUACCUGUGUGACUGCGUACCUUUUGUAUAAUGGGUCAGCGACUUAUAUUCUGUAGCAAGGUUAACCGAAUAGGGGAGCCGGAGGGAAACCGAGUCUUAAUUGGGCGUUAAGUUGCAGGGUAUAGACCCGAAACCCGGUGAUCUAGCCAUGGGCAGGUUGAAGGUUGGGUAACACUAACUGGAGGACCGAACCGACUAAUGUUGAAAAAUUAGCGGAUGACCUGUGGCUGGGGGUGAAAGGCCAAUCAAACCGGGAGAUAGCUGGUUCUCCCCGAAAGCUAUUUAGGUAGCGCCUCGUGAAUUCAUCUCCGGGGGUAGAGCACUGUUUCGGCUAGGGGGCCAUCCCGGCUUACCAACCCGAUGCAAACUGCGAAUACCGGAGAAUGUUAUCACGGGAGACACACGGCGGGUGCUAACGUCCGUCGUGAAGAGGGAAACAACCCAGACCGCCAGCUAAGGUCCCAAAGUCAUGGUUAAGUGGGAAACGAUGUGGGAAGGCCCAGACAGCCAGGAUGUUGGCUUAGAAGCAGCCAUCAUUUAAAGAAAGCGUAAUAGCUCACUGGUCGAGUCGGCCUGCGCGGAAGAUGUAACGGGGCUAAACCAUGCACCGAAGCUGCGGCAGCGACGCUUAUGCGUUGUUGGGUAGGGGAGCGUUCUGUAAGCCUGUGAAGGUGGCCUGUGAGGGUUGCUGGAGGUAUCAGAAGUGCGAAUGCUGACAUAAGUAACGAUAAAGCGGGUGAAAAGCCCGCUCGCCGGAAGACCAAGGGUUCCUGUCCAACGUUAAUCGGGGCAGGGUGAGUCGACCCCUAAGGCGAGGCCGAAAGGCGUAGUCGAUGGGAAACGGGUUAAUAUUCCCGUACUUGGUGUUACUGCGAAGGGGGGACGGAGAAGGCUAUGUUGGCCGGGCGACGGUUGUCCCGGUUUAAGCGUGUAGGUGUGUGUUCCAGGUAAAUCCGGUUCACUUUAACACUGAGGCGUGACGACGAGGCACUACGGUGCUGAAGCAACAAAUGCCCUGCUUCCAGGAAAAGCCUCUAAGCAUCAGGUAACAUCAAAUCGUACCCCAAACCGACACAGGUGGUCAGGUAGAGAAUACCAAGGCGCUUGAGAGAACUCGGGUGAAGGAACUAGGCAAAAUGGUGCCGUAACUUCGGGAGAAGGCACGCUGACAUGUAGGUGAAGUGAUUUACUCACGGAGCUGAAGUCAGUCGAAGAUACCAGCUGGCUGCAACUGUUUAUUAAAAACACAGCACUGUGCAAACACGAAAGUGGACGUAUACGGUGUGACGCCUGCCCGGUGCCGGAAGGUUAAUUGAUGGGGUCAGCGCAAGCGAAGCUCCUGAUCGAAGCCCCGGUAAACGGCGGCCGUAACUAUAACGGUCCUAAGGUAGCGAAAUUCCUUGUCGGGUAAGUUCCGACCUGCACGAAUGGCGUAAUGAUGGCCAGGCUGUCUCCACCCGAGACUCAGUGAAAUUGAACUCGCUGUGAAGAUGCAGUGUACCCGCGGCAAGACGGAAAGACCCCGUGAACCUUUACUAUAGCUUGACACUGAACAUUGAGCCUUGAUGUGUAGGAUAGGUGGGAGGCUUUGAAGUGUGGACGCCAGUCUGCAUGGAGCCGACCUUGAAAUACCACCCUUUAAUGUUUGAUGUUCUAACGUGGACCCGUAAUCCGGGUUGCGGACAGUGUCUGGUGGGUAGUUUGACUGGGGCGGUCUCCUCCUAAAGAGUAACGGAGGAGCACGAAGGUUGGCUAAUCCUGGUCGGACAUCAGGAGGUUAGUGCAAUGGCAUAAGCCAGCUUGACUGCGAGCGUGACGGCGCGAGCAGGUGCGAAAGCAGGUCAUAGUGAUCCGGUGGUUCUGAAUGGAAGGGCCAUCGCUCAACGGAUAAAAGGUACUCCGGGGAUAACAGGCUGAUACCGCCCAAGAGUUCAUAUCGACGGCGGUGUUUGGCACCUCGAUGUCGGCUCAUCACAUCCUGGGGCUGAAGUAGGUCCCAAGGGUAUGGCUGUUCGCCAUUUAAAGUGGUACGCGAGCUGGGUUUAGAACGUCGUGAGACAGUUCGGUCCCUAUCUGCCGUGGGCGCUGGAGAACUGAGGGGGGCUGCUCCUAGUACGAGAGGACCGGAGUGGACGCAUCACUGGUGUUCGGGUUGUCAUGCCAAUGGCACUGCCCGGUAGCUAAAUGCGGAAGAGAUAAGUGCUGAAAGCAUCUAAGCACGAAACUUGCCCCGAGAUGAGUUCUCCCUGAGACUUAGAGUCUCCUGAAGGAACGUUGAAGACGACGACGUUGAUAGGCCGGGUGUGUAAGCGCAGCGAUGCGUUGAGCUAACCGGUACUAAUGAACCGUGAGGCUUAACCUUACAACGCCGAAG